GGCACUGUGGCGGAGUGGUUAUCGCGUCAGCCUAGAAUCGAUUGAUCUUCGACAGCUGAUCCCUUCGGGGGCCUGAGUUCGAAUCUCAGCGGUGUCG
rfam:Coccidioides posadasii str. Silveira unplaced genomic scaffold supercont2.6, whole genome shotgun sequence.